ACAGUGGUGAUUCAGCAGUAGAAUUCUUGCCUUCCACGUGGGAGACCUGGGUUCAAUUCCUGGCUAAGGCA
rnacentral:tRNA from 1 species